rnacentral:rRNA from 1 species
CACGCCGUAAACGAUGAGUGCUAGGUGUCGGGUGUCAAAGCUCGGUGCCGCAGUUAACGCAAUAAGCACUCCGCCUGGGGAGUACGUACGCAAGUAUGAAACUCAAAGGAAUUGACGGGGACCCGCACAAGCAGCGGAGCAUGUGGUUUAAUUCGAAGCAACGCGAAGAACCUUACCAGGACUUGACAUAUAGAUGACAGGUAUGGAGACAUACUAUUUCUUUCGAGAACAUCUAUACAGGUGG